GGCUUCGUAGCUCAGCUGGUAGAGCGCUUGCCGCGUUGAGGCACGCUAUGUAUGUUGCUGGUUCGAAUCCAGCCGAAGCCC
rnacentral:tRNA from 1 species